rnacentral:rRNA from 1 species
GGACUACCCGGGUAUCUAAUCCUGUUUGCUCCCCACGCUUUCGCGCCUCAGUGUCAGUUUGGACCCAGGUGGCCGCCUUCGCCACGGAUGUUCUUUCCGAUCUCUACGCAUUUCACCGCUACACCGGAAAUUCCACCACCCUCUGUCCAACUCAAGUCUUGCAGUUUUCAACGCAGUUCCCAGGUUAAGCCCGGGGCUUUCACAUCAAACUUACAAAACCACCUACACGCCCUUUACGCCCAGUAAUUCCGAUUAACGCUCGCACCCUCUGUAUUACCGCGGCUGCUGGCAC